UCGGGAAUUUUGGGCAAUGGGCGAAAGCCUGACCCAGCAACGCCGCGUGAAGGAUGAAAUCUUUCGGGAUGUAAACUUCGGAAGAAUAGGAAGAAUAAAAUGACGGUACUAUUUUAAGGUCCGGCUAACUACGUGCCAGCAGCCGCGGUAAUACGUAGGGACCAAGCGUUGUUCGGAUUUACUGGGCGUAAAGGGCGCGUAGGCGGCGUAAUAAGUCACUUGUGAAAUCUCCGGGCUUAACUCGGAGCGGCCAAGUGAUACUGUUAGGCUAGAGUGCAGAAAGGGCAAUCGGAAUUCUUGGUGUAGCGGUGAAAUGCGUAGAUAUCAAGAGGAACACCUGAGGUGAAGACGGGUUGCUGGGCUGACACUGACGCUGAGGCGCGAAAGCCAGGGGAGCAAACGGGAUUAGAUACCCUGGUAGUCCCUGAGCGGGCUGGCAAGGCGCAU
rnacentral:rRNA from 1 species